rnacentral:rRNA from 1 species
AUUGAACGCUGGCGGCAGGCUUAACACAUGCAAGUCGAGCGAGCGGCGGACGGGUGAGUAAUGUCUGGGAAUAUGCCAGAUGGAGGGGGAUAACUACUGGAAACGGUAGCUAAUACCGCAUACUAUCAGAUGAGCCCAGAUGGGAUUAGCUAGUAGGUGGGGUAAUGGCUCACCGAGACGACGCUCCCUAGCUGGUCUGAGAGGAUGACCAGCCAAACUGGAACUGAGACCCGCCCCAGACUCCAACGGGAGGCAGCAGUGGGGAAUAUUGCACAAUGGGCGAAAGCCUGAUGCAGCCAUGCCGCGUGUGUGAAGAAGGCCUUCGGGUUGUAAAGCACUUUCAUCGAGGAGGCGUUACUCGCAGAAGAAGCACCGGCUAACUCCGUGCCAGCAGCCGCGGUAAUAC